rnacentral:tRNA from 2 species
GGGCGAUUAGUUUAGUGGUAGAACAGCGGUCUCCAAAACCGCUAGUGGGGGUUCGAUUCCUCCAUCGCCCGCCA